UUUCCGUAGGUGAACCUGCGGAAGGAUCAUUACAUGAUAAUCGGGGUAACAUUGUGGCUUGCCACUCUAAUACCUGUCUGAAUCCAUGUCUUUUGCGUACUACUUGUUUCCUCGGUGGGCUUGCCCGCCGAUUGGACACCAUUUAAACUCUUUUGUAAUUGCAAUCAGCGUCUGAAAACUAUAAUAGUUACAACUUUCAACAACGGAUCUCUUGGUUCUGGCAUCGAUGAAGAACGCAGC
rnacentral:misc_RNA from 1 species